rnacentral:rRNA from 1 species
UACGUAGGGUGCAAGCGUUGUCCGGAAUUAUUGGGCGUAGAGAGCUCGUAGGCGGUUCGUCGCGUCGGCUGUGAAAACCUGAGGCUCAACCUCAGGCCUGCAGUCGAUACGGGCGGACUUGAGUACUGCAGGGGAGACUGGAAUUCCUGGUGUAGCGGUGAAAUGCGCAGAUAUCAGGAGGAACACCGGUGGCGAAGGCGGGUCUCUGGGCAGUAACUGACGCUGAGGAGCGAAAGCGUGGGGAGCGAACAGG